GCAGCUAAGACUGUGGGAAUGAAUGAAGGAAUGCAGGCAGGCUCCAGGAGUCUCCAGAGUGCACCAAGAAUAAACUCGAGCCUUGGAACCUGGCUGGGAGAAGUAGCCCGAGAUUACUCUCUAUUGGCACACGGGACCAUCCUGGCCUGUGUUAAAAGGUCAUCAGGACCUAAAAAUGACUGCUACGGGAUCUGAGACCUCAUCAGGACCCCUCCUGGCUUUCUGGAGAAGCACGUGAGCUUCAGGAAAUGAAAACAUACAUUGUGGGAAAACCCCAGACUUCCGGAGCCAAGCUUUGGAGAGCAGACAGCAGCAGCAGCCAGGAGCCACACACACCCUCUUCCAGAAGGGGACACGUGGCUGUUACCUGUAGACUGUGGAAGGCAAGGACUGGCAUUCCAGACCUGGGCUCUCAAAGCCAGAACCUGGCUCCAGGCCCACUGCUUAACAGCUGGUUCAGGUGGGAAGAACUGAGGCCACAGGUGAGGUUUCUGUCACCACCCCCAUCGCUCUGGACAGGCCCUUCCGGCUGGAUCGUCCUGACCUGCCAAAGGGUGGGAUGACAACUGUGCUGUCUGCCCUCAUGAGGGCAUCAAGGCUCUGAGGUAACAACUGGGAAAGGGCUAUGCCAGCAAAAAGGUGCUGACAAGCCCGAGGCUUAGGGAUGGUGAAGCUUCUCCACAGCUUUAAAUCUGAAUGUGGCAUUUUUUUUCAUACACAAAAAUAAACUCAAAAUGGAUUAAAGACCUAAAUGUAAGACCAGAAACUAUAAAGCUCUUAGAGGAAAACAUAGGCAGGACACUCUUCAACACUCUUUCCCCAGAAAGAUCCUCUAGGACCCACCUCCUAGAAUAAUGGAAAUAGAAACAAAAAUAAACAAAUAGGACC
ensembl:lncRNA